rnacentral:rRNA from 1 species
AUAGCGUUAAGGUGCUUGUCAGACUUGCCAAAGAAGAGGCCUAAAAUAUCAGAUAUAGUCAGUAUGCUUAAUACAAUGGAAAGUACGAAUGAGCACAUUACCAAUGUUGGCACCUCUCCAGCUGUCCCGAUAAGCGCUUACCCAUGGGAGCUACUUGAGUUUGACUCGCUCGAGCUGAAUUUCCCGUUCGAGAUAAACAAGAAGAUAUUGUGCUCACUUCGGCUAACUAAUGUAACUGAUGAUUAUGUUGCCUUCGAUAUCGAAAUGAUGGGCAUACUACGGUAUUGCAUUGAGCCGGAGAAACGUGCUGUGCCACCACGAUCGAAGUGCAAUGUCAUGGUAACACUGCAAUCACAUGAGAGGGUACCACAUGCUAUGGUGUGCAAGGAUGAGUUAUUCAUUUUGCGGUGUGCCGCCGUGAGUGAGGGCCUCACGGCUGAGGAUAUCAUUGAUGACAUGUUAAAUAAGAAGUCGGGUAAACAAGAAGUCGAUAAGGUGACAUUGAAGGUUGUUAUUUUGCCCAUCACCCUCGAC